AGAGGGACAGUUUUAAAUUGGAGGGUCUGAGAAGAUGGCAGAACUUACUUCAAGGGCUGCAGGAUUGUGGCUCACACCUACUAUCCUACCACCUAGGGGGGAGCCGAUGGAGGAGAAUCGGGAGUUCAAGGUCAUCCUGGACUACAUAGCAAAUUUGAGGUCAGCCUGGACGGCCGAAGGUCCUGGAUUCAACUCUCAGCAUUGCAAAAAUAAUAAAGAUCUUAUACCCGA